CAUCCCCUGCGAUGUGCGUGAUUAACAUUCGUUUUUUGAGCCAACACCUUGGAACCGGGGGCCUUUCCUUGUCGUCGUGAGCAUGUCCGCCGGCGUUCCGCGACAGCGGGCGGUGGAAAGCCUGAAGCGGCAAUAGUGGCGCCCACUUUUCAACUGGUUCAAAAAGGUGGUUAACACGGCAUUGUGGGGGUUUU
rfam:Syntrophobacterales bacterium GWC2_56_13 gwc2_scaffold_1159, whole genome shotgun sequence.